rnacentral:lncRNA from 1 species
CAAAAAUGCUAGAAUUGUGAAGAUUUCAGUAAUUUAGCAUGACUUAAUGGUGCAAGUACCCGAUAUAUGUGCAUUGUAUUGUCAAAAUCAGCCCAAAUUUAUGUAGCAGAAGCAAUCUUCUGUCCAAUGAAUAACUAAAAGUUUACAUUUUAACAAAUUUGUAAAACUGCUAUAUUUUGGGGCCAAAAAGGGGUCUUACUGGACCUACUCCUUU